GGGGCAGCGCGAGUAGCAAUACUUGGUGGCGACCGGCGCAAGGGUGCGUAACGCGUGAGCAACAUGCCCGUAUCAGGGGGAUAAUCCAGGGAAACUUGGUCUAAUACCCCAUAGUAAUCUUAGAAGGCAUCUUUUAAGAUUUAAAGCUUAGGUGGAUACGGAUUGGCUCGCGUGACAUUAGCUAGAUGGUAGGGUAACGGCCUACCAUGGCUAUGAUGUCUAGGGGUUCUGAGAGGAAGRUCCCCCACACUGGAACUGAGACACGGUCCAGACUCCUACGGGAGGCAGCAGUGAGGAAUAUUGGACAAUGGAUGGAAAUCUGAUCCAGCCAUGCCGCGUGAAGGACGACUGCCCUAUGGGUUGUAAACUUCUUUUGUAUGGGAGCAAUAAGGUCUUCGUGUAGAGUGAUGAGAGUACCAUACGAAUAAGCAUCGGCUAACUCCGUGCCAGCAGCCGCGGUAAUACGGAGGAUGCRAGCGUUAUCC
rnacentral:rRNA from 1 species